GACGAACCGUGCGGACGUUGUUCGGAAUCACUGGGCUUAAAGGGCGUGUAGGCGGUUGAUCAAGUCCGGGGUGAAAUCCUGCAGCUUAACUGUAGAAGUGCCUUGGAUACUGGUUGACUCGAGGGAGGUAGGGGUCUGUGGAACUUCUGGUGGAGCGGUGAAAUGCGUUGAUAUCGGAAGGAACGCCGGUGGCGAAAGCGACGUGCUGGACCUCUUCUGACGCUGAGGAACGAAAGCCAGGGGAGCGAACGGG
rnacentral:rRNA from 1 species